rnacentral:rRNA from 1 species
CAGGUUUACCUGUGUGACUGCGUACCUUUUGUAUAAUGGGUCAGCGACUUAUAUUCUGUAGCAAGGUUAACCGCAUAGGGGAGCCGGAGGGAAACCGAGUCUUAACCGGGCGUUAAGUUGCAGGGUAUAGACCCGAAACCCGGUGAUCUAGCCAUGGGCAGGUUGAAGGUUGGGUAACACUAACUGGAGGACCGAACCGACUAAUGUUGAAAAAUUAGCGGAUGACCUGUGGCUGGGGGUGAAAGGCCAAUCAAACCGGGAGAUAGCUGGUUCUCCCCGAAAGCUAUUUAGGUAGCGCCUCGUGAAUUCAUCUCCGGGGGUAGAGCACUGUUUCGGCUAGGGGGCCAUCCCGGCUUACCAACCCGAUGCAAACUGCGAAUACCGGAGAAUGUUAUCACGGGAGACACACGGCGGGUGCUAACGUCCGUCGUGAAGAGGGAAACAACCCAGACCGCCAGCUAAGGUCCCAAAGUCAUGGUUAAGUGGGAAACGAUGUGGGAAGGCCCAGACAGCCAGGAUGUUGGCUUAGAAGCAGCCAUCAUUUAAAGAAAGCGUAAUAGCUCACUGGUCGAGUCGGCCUGCGCGGAAGAUGUAACGGGGCUAAACCAU